AGUGAACGCUGGCGGUAGGCCUAACACAUGCAAGUCGAACGGCAGCACAGUAAGAGCUUGCUCUUACGGGUGGCGAGUGGCGGACGGGUGAGGAAUACAUCGGAAUCUUCUUUUUCGUGGGGGUUAACGUAGGGAAACUUACGCUAAUACCGCAUACGACCUACGGGUGAAAGCAGGGGAUCUUCGGACCUUGCGCGAUUGAAUGAGCCGAUGUGGGAUUAGCUAGUUGGCGGGGUAAAGGCCCACCAAGGCGACGAUCCGUAGCUGGUCUGAGAGGAGGGUCGCCCGCACUGGAAGUGAGACACGGUCCAGACUCCUACGGGAGGCAGCAGUCGGGAAUGUUGGACAAUGGGCGCAAGCCUGAUCCAGCCAUACCGCGUGGGUGAAGAAGGCCUUCGGGUUGUAAAGCCCUUUUGUUGGGAAAGAAAAGCAGUCGGUUGAUACCCCGCUGUUCUGACGGUACCCAAAAAAUAAGCACCGGCUAACUUCGUG
rnacentral:rRNA from 1 species